UUAAAUACAAUGAAAGAAAUGUCAUUUGAAAAUGCAGGUGGUGUUCAAUCUAUAUGAUCUCUAACAUGAAAAUAAAUCAACAGGUGUCCCCCAGGGUAAUGAAGCUCACCUAUUUUUCCAAAGGAUCUAGUUUUCUAAAUGCAUUAUAGACGUUUGAAGAGUAGUCAGUCGCGGAGAUGUAGCUUGGAAGCGGCGGGCCACGAUGACAGGCGGAGCGCGGACAGGGGCUUCACGAUGUCGUCGGCGCUUCGGAGCGCCUCAUUAGCGCAACGACCCAGCCACCGGAGCCUUUCAGCGGCGCCAACAAGACAGACGUGAGACAAGGUUUUUGCCCUGCGAUUGGCUGGCGACCAGUUCAGGGCGUACCCCGCCUCCUGCCCGAUGACAGCCGGGAUAGGCUCCGGCACGCCCGCGACCCGAGUGAGGAGAAGCGGCUCAGAAAAUGGAUGGACGGAUGGAUGGAUGUUCACAACACUGCACAGGGCCGCCGACCCGCACCCGGGGCCCGGCGGUACAUGGAGGCGCCCGGGCGCACCGAGCGCGUCGGCCAGACCCGCUCGGCCGCGCCGUUAGACGACCACUUCUCCCGCGUCGGGACCCACCUCGCUACCGCGCCGGCACAGCUCACGGCUCGUAAGAGGCGAUGACGCAAGCGCCUCCUUCCCCACCUGGAAAGUGUCGGUGAAAUGUCAGUCGUUCACUGUGAAAUGUAAUGACCCGAAGGCGAUAUUUUUGAACGCUUUUAGAUUUGCAUGUUAAAUGAAGGAAAAUGGUGUUCAUUGUGGAAAUUGUGAAACUGUACACGUCAUGAAUGUGUUUGUUUUUUUUACGGGACAGCGGGAACGGUGCUCGGGGAGAAGCUUGAAACGGUCCUGACGACUGUCUGUGUUUCUCCCGCACGAGCGCAGGUUCCAGCCUCCAAACGCAGCCGUCGGUCUUUGAAGAGUCACGUGGGAAUCCGGAAACGGCGAAAGAGUAAAUGGACAGGAGAAUGGUCAAACAUAAGGAACCAGAAGAGCACACUUUGAAAAUCCAGUCCGUGUACCGUAUAAUCAUCAAAAUGUCAACAAAUGCAAGCGGUUUGACCUCAGAGGUUGUACGGCGCCGCCCGACAAAACCAUGUUCACGUAGAGCAGGAGUAGAAUUGUAACGUUAGCGAAGUAGCUAGGCUACGUGUUUGUUGUCAGUAGGACUGUUGGUUUCGAGGCGAACCCAAGUCAGACAGAGGGAGGAAAUGAUUGAAAUACGCCGACGGGCCUUUCGAGCGAGGGAGUCGCACGGGUUCAUUAGGAGCAGCGUCAGUUUGUCAAGCCGUUGGAUUUGCGGCUCCAAAAAAUGAAACACAUUUGAACGUCUCUCAUUUUAACGCCGUAACGUCACGGCGUCAGUGGUUUUACGGACCGUACGGCAGAUUAUUUUCCGAGCCUUAAUUGUACAUACGCGUACGUCGCGUUGCAUUUUAGCAGUCCGACUGCUGUGGAUACGGCCGCCGUUGCGCCCAUUGUUCAAUCCCGUUGUCUCUCUGUAGCUUUUGUCUCUCUCGGACACCUCGGGUACGGCGUCAGCGUCGUUCCUCGACCGAAGCAGAUUUGUAUCGCAUCGGUGUCACGACUCACCGUUCGAGGCCGACGAAUGGACCCGACCGUUACCGUUACGCAAAACGGUGGGAUCGGUCAUCGGUCGAUGGGCUGCGCCUCGAGAGCGCGGGGUCGCGGGCCCGAAGUGCUAAAGACGAGAGCCGCUUCUGCCAGCAAAUGAAGGUGAAUAUAUAUCGUAACGGCAUUAGCGGUACUUUGCGGAAAGGCGCACGGUGCCCCGAGACAGUUGCUUUCAGCGAAUAAGAGUGUACAUUCCUUGAAAUUCCCCAAAAGAAUGUUUUCUCGCUAAAGAUAGUUGCCGCUAAUAGCGUGUCAUGUUCGAGAAGAAGUAUAAGCCAACUUUUGGGGCGAGAAUAUAUUGUUUUUGCCCCCCACUGUCUGACCGUAGCAUUGUGAUGAAUAUUGCUUUUGUAGAAUAAGAAUGAAACGGAAAGGUUGUUCCAUUUCCAUCCAUUUCGCGAUCGCCCUCCGCCGUGGACCGAGAUUGACAUCGCGACCGCGCUCGCGUCGCAAACGUCGUUGGAACCGUCGUCACGUGACCUCACCGCGGUCGGAUGUCUUUGAACCGGGCCAUGUCUUUUGACCGUUAUGUACUCUUGUAAAUUGUUGUUGAAAACCGGAAAUGUCAUUUUCUAUGCGGGUUUGUGUUCUUGUGCGUCACAUUGUAAGUCAUUAGUUUAUUGCUUUUGUGUUGUUGUUCAGCCGGCCCGUUGCAAUUAAGGAUGCAGAAAGUCACAUCGGCCACCGCCACCACAGAGAGUUGCGCUAUUGUAAAGGGUGGACGCGAGGAGCCAGAGGAUGAGGGUAUUCAAGUCCUCAACGACGUCGGCGGUUUGGUUCGUCGUGCCGUUGGGGCUCAUUUAUGGCUUUCGUCCAGGCUUUUUGGGAAAACGUCAAGUCGGUGAGAGUUUUUCCACAUGAAAAAUUUGCCAUUUUUGUUUUUUUUGUCUCAUCGGGGACGGUCACGUCGUGCGGCCCCACUCCUGGUGUUUUAGAUGAGGAAGCUUGGAAAUGUAAGCAGGUAAAGUUGAAAAUGAAUUUGCAAAGAAAGAGUGUUCAAUAAAAACCAAAACACAUUGACUGGAUUUUUGUGCGUGUUUGUCUGUCUGUGUGUGUUUUGUGUCUGCCUCGCAGUUGUGAGGACCCGGGUUCAAAUGUGGCCUGGAACGGUGCGGAGUUUGCGCUCCGGGUACUCUGCUCUCACAGCCCCAAAACAGGCACGGUAGGUUAGCGGAAGACUCGAAAUGGCCCGUAGGUGUGAAUGGUUGGUUGUUUGUAUGUGCGCCGCGACCAGUUGUCGGCUCCGGCGCGCCCCCGGUGAGGAUAAGUGCUCUGGAAAAUGGAUGGAUGCGAGAAAUGUGAAAUGUAGUUUUGACUAAUUAUGGUGGUUUGAAUUGCAGCGAUGCGAAGGUAUUCAUUUGACUCUGGCCGAAUUUGAUGAAAAUGGGUUUGGCCGACUCACUUCUAUCAAAUGACAAGGAAGUUGUGAGUUGGAGUUGGAGUUAGUUCGUCAAAUAGAAGGGAUGGAAAAGAUGGCCCAAAUUGUGUUUGUGAUUUCUUAGUGAAGGUUGCUGAGUGGUUUGACUUGGUAUUAAAAAAAAAAACACAACAACAACAACGGUGUAUAGGAAAGCAAUUUGAUAUUGCGACGUGUGUCACUGGUGCAGUUGACGAGUCGGGAAGCCGCACGGUGUCUCGUGCACGCGCCUCGUCACCGCACAGCGGCGCGCGCGCGCGCGCGCCCGGGCGAGGUCAUUGAUUGCACCUGCGGAGGGCGGGGCGCGGCACAUACAUAAGGCGAGGGGGAGCUCCUCACUCGGUGCAGGUAAGCGGCCGGCGUGCGAGCGAGCAUUUCCCCACUCGUCCCGUCGAGUUGUCAUGUGUGUGUUUUCUGUUUGCAGUUUGCAGUCUGCCGUCGGGAGCUUCGUGUCGGUCACCCGAGUCAUCUCGUCACCGUUCGCAAGAGUUGAUUUGCAGCCGCCCUUCACUGGCUCCCAAUUCGUCACGACGAGGAGGCGAAGCAGCACGGGCGCGAGGAGGAGUUGAAGGAAAGGCCGGGCCUCCGGGAGCUCCGCGCUGCCGCCAGGUAAGCAGGUGAUCGACAGACCGGAGCGGCUCGGCGCCCCCGCCUGGGCCGAGGGCGCAACUGCGCCGGUGCGCUGGCCUUUGUCCCCGCUGAAUGUUGUCCGCGGCGACCUCUGAGGAGGAAGGGCUGCGGCCGCCCCGUGUUCUCCACGGCCCUGUAGGGUCGGUUAGCCUGACCGCGACCUAAAUUUCCCACCCGCUACUGACUUUCCUCGUCCGGCUAAAUUGGACAUGUUUGUUUUGUAGCAGAAACCCAGUUGGAGGGGCGGCUGUGCAAGAUCUAAGAGAAGCUUCCCGGAGCAGCAGCAGCCUCCAUUCUGAGACCGCAAUGUCAUGUCGCUGGGCCUCUAAAAGGCACAAGUAUAUUGUGACGUCAUGCACUUUCAGGGUGUUUGAAAUUCUUUUUAUUUUUUUUUAUUUUUUUUCCCCCCCCACAGGCUGGAGCGUUCACCGGUGUGGACCACUGCCGUUCCUACCUGUGGUGUUGAAAAGAUAGCCUCCAAGCAAAUUUGUAGUCCAGUCCUAUCCCAAGUAAGUGAAACUGGUAGUAUCAUUGUCAAUUUGUGCUAUGAGUGUUGCAGUUUUUGCAGGUGCUGGCUUUUCCUGAUGAUGACCGCUGCUGUUAAAACGGGCUGACAAGCUGAUUUUUGGAAAGCUUAUUUUUGUUUUAAUUUUUUUUCUUCUUCCCCCCCCCCCCCCCCAAGAAUAAGAAGGUUCAGGGUUUUGUGGCUGAACGCUGCUUGAUGGAAAAGCAGCCAGUAAGUGUAAUGGCAAAGUUGUGACUUGAAGUUUAAUUUGGCAGGCUGGACUUUCCCAGUACUUGGGGAAGAGGCCUUCCAAGCUGAUUUGGUAAGUUUUAUUGAGCAGGUGGUCAAUGUAUGACUUUGUCUAAUUGUUUUUGUUUUUUUGCAGGCUCUGGGUUUGGUGGCUGAAGAUCAGGCCUUCGAGUUUUCUUUGGAAGUACCUUUCUACCUAAAGGUAAUCACUCAAUGCAAUUUGAAUCCCAUUUUCUGUGCAGGCUCUGAAUCUUUUGGGGGAGGACUCGUUCCAAGUAAGUGUAAAAGCACAAUCGUCCAGUUUGCAUCGGAACCUUUGAACGCAUUUAAUUUUUUAUUUCCCCCCCCCCCCCCUCAAGAUGGCUGUUGCCGGAAAGGACUCUCCGAAGUGACCCGUCACAAUGCUCAGAUGCCACCUGGCAGGACUUAAUUUGGACAAUUGAAUUGAUCUUUUUGGCAGUAUGGAAAAAGACUCCCAGGUUGGAAGUGGAUUUGUUUUUAUUUUUUUGCCAAGAAGGUGUGGAGACAGUUGAUGGUCAACGUGCUGUCGUCUGGCCAACGUUCCUCCAACGCCGAAGACUCUUGCUGUACGGGUGAGUAAAUGACAUGGUUGCAAAGC